UCCCUGGUGGUCCAGUGGUUAGGACGCUGUGCUCUUAUUGCCAAGGGCCCGGGUUCAAUCCCUGGUCAGGGAA